rnacentral:lncRNA from 1 species
AGCACGCUAUUUGAUUCGUUUAUUUCAUUUAGAAAUAAACUUAGCUGAAAAUAUAAAUCAAUUAUAAUUCGAAUUUGAGACCUCAGGUACCAACCAUUAAGUUCUUUGCCACUUACUCUAGGGAUGGUCGGUGUUGACAGUGUCUUAUUAGAUUUAUUUUUAUUUUAAUGAUAUAAAAAUAUUACAUAUAUAUAUAUAUAUAUAUAUAUAUAGAACUAGGCUACUAUACUAUUAAUAGCACCAAGUCAUUGGUGCUACCAAGUUUUUGGCCAUUGGAUUAAGNCUUUUUUUUUUUUUUUUUUGAGAAAUAGAUAGUACGCUACCUGAUUCGUUUAUUUCAUUUAAAAAUAAACUUAGCUGAAAAUGUAAAUCAACUAUAAUUCGAAUUUGAGACCUCAGGUACCAACCAUCAAGUUAUUUGCCACUUACUCUAGGGAUGGUCGGUGUCGACAGUGUCUUAUUAGAUUUAUUUUUAUUUUAAUGAUAUAAAAAUAUUACAUAUAUAUAUAUAUAUACACUAGUAAAAUAUACAUUCAAAUGCACGUAAUAAUUAUUAGAAAAGUUAUAAUUUUUUUAAAUUAUUUUUUAAUUUUAGGCCAUAUUUUAUAUNUGUGCGGUUAGGAUGAUGUGGGCCCCCUAGGGUUGAGUGGGUGGUUGAUUGAAUAGUAUGAUCUAACGGGUGAAAAUGAUCACAAGGGUAGAUCUAACGACGGAAAACUUGGUAGCACCAAGUGCUUUGUGCUAUUAAUAGCAUAGUAGCCGGACUCUAUAUAUAUAUAUAUAUAUAUAUCUA